rnacentral:piRNA from 1 species
UAGAAUGGACAACGCUUCCUAGAACUGGGA